rnacentral:ncRNA from 23 species
AAUGGCACUGGAAGAAUUCACGGG